UACGUAGGGUCCGAGCGUUGUCCGGAAUUACUGGGCGUAAAGAGCUCGUAGGUGGUUUGUCGCGUUGUUCGUGAAAACUCACAGCUCAACUGUGGGCGUGCGGGCGAUACGGGCAGACUAGAGUACUGCAGGGGAGACUGGAAUACUUGGUGUAGCAGUGAAAUGCGUAGAUAUCAAGUGGAACACCAGUGGCGAAGGCGAGUCUCUGGACAUUUCCUGACGCUGAGGCACGAAAGCCAGGGGAGCAAACGGG
rnacentral:rRNA from 1 species